rnacentral:rRNA from 1 species
CUACGAGCGGCAGCAGUGGGGAAUAUUGGACAAUGGGGGAAACCCUGAUCCAGCAAUGCCGCGUGUGUGAAGAAGGCCUGCGGGUUGUAAAGCACUUUCGGUUGGGAGGACUGCUUCUAGCACUAAUAUUGUUGGAAGUUGACGUUACCUUCAGAAGAAGCACCGGCUAACUCCGUGCCAGCAGCCGCGGUAAUACGGAGGGUGCAAGCGUGAAUCGGAAUUACUGGGCGUAAAGCGCGCGUAGGCGGCUAGAUCAGUCGGGUGUGAAAGCCCCGGGCUUAACCUGGGAACUGCAUCCGAUACUGUCUAGCUUGAGUACAGGAGAGGAGAGUGGAAUUCCACAUGUAGCGGUGAAAUGCGUAGAUAUGUGGAGGAACACCAAUGGCGAAGGCAGCUCUCUGGCCUGAUACUGACGCUGAGGUGCGAAAGCGUGGGGAGCAAACAGGAUUAGAUACCCGCGUAGUC